rnacentral:rRNA from 1 species
GGCAUGCCUAACACAUGCAAGUCGAACGCUUCGGGCAUAGUGGCGCACGGGUGCGUAACGCGUGGGAAUCUGCCCUUGGGUCUGGGAUAACAGUUGGAAACGACUGCUAAUACCGGAUGAUAUCGCGAGAUCAAAGAUUUAUCGCCCGAGGAUGAGCCCGCGUAGGAUUAGCUAGUUGGUGGGGUAAAGGCCUACCAAGGCGACGAUCCUUAGCUGGUCUGAGAGGAUGAUCAGCCACACUGGGACUGAGACACGGCCCAGACUCCUACGGGAGGCAGCAGUGGGGAAUAUUGGACAAUGGGCGCAAGCCUGAUCCAGCAAUGCCGCGUGAGUGAUGAAGGCCUUAGGGUUGUAAAGCUCUUUUACCCGGGAUGAUA